rnacentral:rRNA from 1 species
GACGUAGGGCGCGAGCGUUGUCCGGAUUUAUUGGGCGUAAAGAGCGUGUAGGCGGCCAGGUAGGUCCGCUGUGAAAACUCGAGGCUCAACCUCGAGAUGUCGGCGGAAACCAUCUGGCUAGAGUCCGGAAGAGGAGAGUGGAAUUCCUGGUGUAGCGGUGAAAUGCGCAGAUAUCAGGAAGAACACCCGUGGCGAAGGCGGCUCUCUGGGGACGGUACUGACGCUGAGACGCGAAAAGCGUGGGGAGCGAACAGG